rnacentral:misc_RNA from 1 species
GAUGAAGAACGCAGCGAAAUGCGAUAAGUAAUGUGAAUUGCAGAAUUCAGUGAAUCAUCGAAUCUUUGAACGCACAUUGCGCCCGCCAGUAUUCUGGCGGGCAUGCCUGUUCGAGCGUCAUUACAACCCUCAGGCCCCCGGGCCUGGCGUUGGGGAUCGGCGGAGCCCCCCGUGGGCACACGCCGUCCCCCAAAUGCAGUGGCGGUCCCGCCGCAGCUUCCAUCUCGUAGUAGCUAACACCUCGCGACUGGAGAGCGGCGCGGCCACGCCGUAAAACACCCAACUCUUCUGAAGUUGACCUCGAAUCAGGUAGGAAUACCCGCUGAACUUAAGCAUAUCAAUAAGCGGAGGA